CAAUACCUGUCAUGCGAAUGAAAAAGCCAUAACUGAAAUGGAUCUUUAUGGCAAAACGGAGAUGACAGGAUAUGAAGAGCGCACUCAAGAUGCCUUCACAUGCAACUAACAAAAUGUGAAAGGUUUUUAAAGUUGCGAACAAUGGCA
ensembl:snoRNA snoRNA:abba-a